UGAUGCCGGUUUUUUCAAUUUGCGCUUC
rnacentral:sRNA from 1 species